rnacentral:rRNA from 1 species
CCUACGGGAGGCAGCAGUGAGGAAUAUUGGUCAAUGGGCGCGAGCCUGAACCAGCCAAGUAGCGUGAAGGAUGACUGCCCUACGGGUCGUAAACCUCUUUUGCCGGGGAGCAGUGGUCCGGACGCGUCCGGACCGGGAGAGUACCCGGAGAAAAAGCAUCGGCUAACUCCGUGCCAGCAGCUGCGGUAAUACGGAGGAUGCGAGCGUUAUCCGGAUUUAUUGGGUGUAAAGGGUGCGUAGGCGGGCAUUUAAGCCGGCGGUCAAAUGUCGGGGCUCAACCCCGGCCGGCCGUUGGAACUGGGUGCCUUGAGUUGGCGAGAAGUAUGCGGAAUGCGUGGUGUAGCGGUGAAAUGCAUAGAUAUCACGCAGAACCCCGAUUGCGAAGGCAGCAUACCGGCGCCCGACUGACGCUGAGGCACGAAAGUGCGGGUAUCGAACAGGAUUAGAUACCCUGGUAGUC